CCAGCAGCCGCGGUAAUUCCAGCUCCAAUAGCGUAUAUUAAAGUUGUUGCAGUUAAAAAGCUCGUAGUUGAACCUUGGGCCUGGCUGGCCGGUCCGCCUCACCGCGUGCACUGGUCCGGCCGGGCCUUUCCUUCUGGGGAGCCGCAUGCCCUUCACUGGGUGUGUCGGGGAACCAGGACUUUUACUUUGAAAAAAUUAGAGUGUUCAAAGCAGGCCUAUGCUCGAAUACAUUAGCAUGGAAUAAUAGAAUAGGACGUGUGGUUCUAUUUUGUUGGUUUCUAGGACCGCCGUAAUGAUUAAUAGGGAUAGUCGGGGGCAUCAGUAUUCAAUUGUCAGAGGUGAAAUUCUUGGAUUUAUUGAAGACUAACUACUGCGAAAGCAUUUGCCAAGGAUGUUUUCAUUAAUCAGUGAACGAAAGUUAGGGGAUCGAAGACGAUCAGAUACCGUCGUAGUCUUAACCAUAAACUAUGCCGACUAGGGAUCGGGCGAUGUUAUCUUUUUGACUCGCUCGGCACCUCACGAGAA
rnacentral:rRNA from 2 species